rnacentral:rRNA from 1 species
UACAGAGGGUGCAAGCGUUAAUCGGAAUUACUGGGCGUAAAGCGUGCGUAGACGGUUAUGUAAGUCGGGUGUGAAAGCCCCGGGCUCAACCUGGGAAUGCCAUUCGAGACUGCAUAGCUAGGGUGCGGAAGAGGGAAGCGGAAUUUCCGGUGUAGCGGUGAAAUGCGUAGAUAUCGGAAGGAACACCAGAGGCGAAAGCGGCUUCCUGGUCCAGCAUCGACGUUCAGGCACGAAAGCGUGGGGAGCAAACAGG